rnacentral:tRNA from 1 species
GGUGAUAGCUCAGUGGUAGAGCACUUGUCUAAGAUAUGUGAGACUCUGGGUUCAAUCCCCAGCACCA